GAUGAACGCUGGCGGCGUGCCUAAUACAUGCAAGUCGAGCGAACGGACGAGAAGCUUGCUUCUCUGAUGUUAGCGGCGGACGGGUGAGUAACACGUGGAUAACCUACCUAUAAGACUGGGAUAACUUCGGGAAACCGGAGCUAAUACCGGAUGAUAUUUUGAACCGCAUGGUUCAAAAGUGAAAGACGGUCUUGCUGUCACUUAUAGAUGGAUCCGCGCUGCAUUAGCUAGUUGGUAAGGUAACGGCUUACCAAGGCAACGAUGCAUAGCCGACCUGAGAGGGUGAUCGGCCACACUGGAACUGAGACACGGUCCAGACUCCUACGGGAGGCAGCAGUAGGGAAUAUUCCGCAAUGGGCGAAAGCCUGACGGAGCAACGCCGCGUGAGUGAUGAAGGUCUUCGGAUCGUAAAACUCUGUUAUUAGGGAAGAACAUAUGUGUAAGUAACUGUGCACAUCUUGACGGUACCUAAUCAGAAAGCCACGGCUAACUACGUG
rnacentral:rRNA from 1 species